GUCCCUCUGCACCAGCGUGGAGGGGGGAGGGGCGCGCACCCUUUCCGCCCAGGCUUUUGCGGGCUCCUCGGGCCGAACCCGAAGGGGCUGUUCCUGAACCUUGACUUGUUAUCAUAGGGACCCAAGCUCUAUUUUUGUGUGGCCAAUUCGUGCACUGCAGCAAAAUGGCCCUUCAGUCGCGUCUUGGGGUUUCUCCUCGGUUCAAAUGCUCUCGCGCUGAGAAAAAGCCGGAGGAAAAAAAAGCGACACCCUCCCUCCCCCAUUAAUUAUUUGUGGGGCCGGAGUAACGCGGGCUGGUGCAACCGGUGCAUAUAAGGACUUGUGUGCAAGGAAGGGGAUCCGCCUCCAGGCGCGGAAAGAGUAGGGAAGAAGCGCACACGCACAGUGCACCCAGCUGGGCGCUUCGGCAGUUUGCAGCUGCGGCGGGGUCGGGUCCACCCGCGGUCCCCGGAAUGCCGGACGGCUGAUCCCGGGUGCUGGUCACUCGCCGAUUCGGGGCUGGGAAGGUUUGCCAGAAGCGGGAAAGAUGGGAGAUCUGAGCGCUCUCUUGGCAUCGCCACACCCAGGACUUGCUCGUGCCGCAAUUCCCCACGGAAACAACCGAGUUGAAACGAGAAGCUUGCUCUCUGGGUGCAGUAGCUAGAAGGCUUCAGGUAACUCCAAAGCCAACACUGGGUGAGGCAACACACGCCGCCUCAGGACUCAGCAUUUCUUUCAGGCUGCGUUUUCGUGGCAGACCUACCCAGAUUGAUGGAGAAAGUUUGGCUGGCGGAUAAGAAGUAACGCGGAAGAUGUGUACAUUAUUGUGGCUGUCACUCAGGUUUUCUGCUCAUUGGUAGACAAAGGGUGAGGAGGUGACUGAAAUUGGAACAGUGGAAGGACCCUUCACCAAAACCUGGAACUUCAGAAGAAUGGCAGGGCUGAAAAUGAUUAGUGUUAAUUCAUUCCAGUUGUGUUACCCUACCCAUAAGACUGCCUGAAGGAGCCUGAACUUCCACGUGCUGUCUUCCAUAUAAUGUGAUCUGAGGUGAAGAGCAUGGUCCCUGGAGUUGAACUGCCUGAAGUAAAUCCCAAAAUAGAAAAAUAAAAAUAAAACAGUGGUUUUAUUGUUUUUAUUUCUUGUUUCUCAUUGAUAGGUAGAUAGAGAGUUUUCUUUAAAAGCCUAGUGCUUUUGGGAUAAUAAUGGCAAGUGAUUACAUCUCUUUUGUAUUAAAUAGGUUUGGAGAAAUUUUCUUAAUUAUCUGGUACUAUUUAAACUCAAAGGCAAACACAACACUCUAUCUAAAAUACCAGUAUUACACUUUCCCUAAAUGCAGAAAACUAUUUUUACUAAAAAUUUGGCAAGCACUUUCAAAACAGCAUUUUUCUGUUUUCAUUCCUUGAGAAUUUCCUAACAAGUAUGC
rnacentral:lncRNA from 10 species